AGAAUUUUAUUAAAGCAAAUGGUGGAUGCCUAGGUGGCUAAAGCCGAAGAAGGACGUAGAAGACGGCGAUACGCGUCGGGGAGUUGUCAACAAAUGAUGAUCCGACGAAUUCCGAAUGGAGAAAUCCCUGACUAUGAAAGUAGUCGGAGGCUAGUUUCGUAAGAAAUUAGCCGGGAGACCCGGGGAAGCGAAACAUCCUAGUACCCGGAGGAAAAGAAAUCGAAAGAGAUUCCGUUAGUAGCGGUGAGCGAACACGGAAGAGCCUAAACCGUCCUUCGCAUUGUGCUUCGCAAAAUGCUUCGGAACGGCAUGCCCGCAAUUAAGUGGGCGUAGCCAAUCCAUAGCACCUACGAAGUAGAGUGCGGAGGAUGGGGUUGCAGGGUUUAGUAUAAAGUUUUGAAAAAACAGAAGAAAGUUAAGGAAUGAACUGCCAAAGAGGGUGAAAGCCCCGUAUUUGAAAUUUGAGUAAAAACUGACUGAAUACCUAAGUACCGCGAUCCACGUGAAAUGUCGCGGGAAUCUGGGGCGACCAAGCUCCAAGGCUAAAUACUUUAGCAGACCGAUAGUGAACUAGUACCGUGAGGGAAAGGUGAAAANNUGAUGUCGUGCCUAUUGAAGAAUGAGCCCGGGAGUGUUUCUAGUUAUCAAGUCUAACUCCGAUGAAUCGGAGGAAGGCGUAGCGAAAGCGAGUGCGAAUAGCGCGAAUAGAUGACUGGAGACGACCCGAAGCCACUUGAGCUAACCUUGGACAGGGUGAACGUCGAUGGAAGUCGGCGGGAGGCCCGUACGGAUCAGAGCUGCAAAUCUGUCCGAUGAUCUGAGGUUAGAGGUAAUAUGCCAAUCGAAAGUGGGAAUAGCUGGCUCUCUCCGAAAUAUAUAUAGGUAUAGCGUCUAGUGUUUCCUGGUGGGGGUAGAGCUACUGGAUGAGUGUUUUGUGCGCAAGCACAGGCAUUUAACCAAACUCCGAAUACCGUCAGGCUAAGCUAGGCAGUCAGUCCAUCCGGGCUAAGCUGGAUUGGGCAAAAGGGGAAGACCCCAGACUCUCAGUUAAGGUCUCUAAAUCUAUGUUAAGUGGGAAAGGCAGUGGGUUGCCUAAGACAGACAGGAGGUUGGCUCAGAAGCAGCCANNGAAAGCGUAAUAGCUCACUGUUCGACUCCCCGUAAGGGGGGUCGGCAACCUGCGCCGAAAAUGUAAGGAGGCUAAAACAUAGUACCGAAGCUGGAGAUUUGUGCCGAUUUAUCGGCACGAAUGGUAGGAGAGCGUUCUUGGUGCGGCGAAGGUUGACCGAAAGGUUUGCUGGAGCGCCAAGAAGUGAGAAUCCGGGCAUGAGUAACGAANNNNNNNNNNNNNNNNNNNNNNNNNNNNNNGGCCGAAAGGCGUAGGCGAUGGAUAACCGGUUAAUAUUCCGGUACUUUGGUAAAUUCGUUAUCAGUUGGGGCGUGACGGUGAGUGGAAGAUUUAGAGCAGAAGUGAAAUGCUGCUUUUAAGUGUCUAGCUAGAAGGGGUUGGCAAAUCCGCCUUUUCGUUAUAAAGUGAAGCACGAAUAAGAGUCCGCCGUAAGGUGGACAAUUGAAUUGAAUCCAUUUAUCCAAGAAAAGCGUCGCAAUGAGAAUUUACUGAAUUCGUACCAAAACCGACACUGGUGGAUGAGUCGAGAAGACUUAGGAGAUUGAAAGACAGAUGAUUAAGGAACUUGGCAAAUUAACUGGGCGUAAGUUUUACAAGAUGCCCUGCCCGCCCUAACAAGCGGGCUACAACAAAAGAAUGCAUGGCGACUGUUUACCACAAACACAGGUCUCUGCAAACCCGUAAGGGGAAGUAUAGGGGCUGAAACCUGACCGGUGCCAGAAGGUUAAGAAGAUGGGUUUUUCCGCAAGGAUCUGCCUGUUUUAUAAGCCCUGGUGAACGUCAGCAGUAACUCUAACUGUUCUAAGGUAGCGAAGUCCUUUGUCGUGUAAGUUACGACACGUAUGAAAGGUUCAACGACUGUGCAACUGUCUUAAUCAUCUAUUCAGUGAAAUUGAAAGAGCGGUGAAGAUGCCGUUUAAUUACAUCAGGACAAAAAGACCCCAUGAAGCUUUACUGGAUCUUUACAUUGAUAAGAAUCUAAAUAUUGUCGAGCGUAGGAGGGAGGCCCUAGGGCCGCCAAUGGAACACCUCCCUUGUUUAUUUUUGAAUCUAACCUAUUCCGCUGAAUCGCGGAAGGGAACAGUGUAUGGUUGCUAGUUUGCCUGGGGCAGGCACCUGCAAAAAAGUAACGCGGGUAUACAAAGGUCAACUUGAUCCGGUAGGAAAUCGGAUCUUAAGUACAAAAGCAAAAGUUGGCUUGACUGUGAGACUUACAAGUCGAAUAGCACUAGUUUACUAGAGCUACUCCGAUGCUAGACGAUCGGAGCAGGGUCGAAAGACGGUUUUAGUGAUCCUCGUGACCUAUUUGGUAUAGGCACGGGCUUACUGGAUAAAAGCUACUCUGGGGAUAACAGGCUGGUCGCAUCCGAUAGUUCAUAUUGACGAUGCGGUUCGGCACCUCGAUGUCGUCUUGGCGCAUCCUGGCCCUGAAGAAGGGGCCAAGGGUUGGUCUGUUCGCCCAUUAAAGCGCUGCGUUAGAUGGGUUCAGAGCGUCGCGAGACAGCUCGGUCUCUAUCCGAUGUAAUCGUUCGUUUCUUGAGGGAAUUCGUCUACAGUACGAGAGGACCUAGGCGAGGGAACCGCUGGUGUGCCAGUUGUGCCGUCAGGCGCAUUGCUGGGUAGCUACGUUCUUAUUAGAUAACUGCUGAAAGCAUCUCAAGCAGGAAACUGACCCCGAGAUAAGGAAACGUAGUCCCGUAAGGGAUGAGAGAUCGCCGGGAGACUACCGGUUAAUACUCUGCGUGUGGAAGAUCCGUAAGGAUUUAAGCUAAGCAGUGGAAAGAUCGAAGAAAUUCUUUAA
rnacentral:rRNA from 1 species